GUUACGGCCUCCAUUUAAAGGAACAAACCAAGGCUCAAAAGGGAUUGGAGGAUGCAACAUAUAAAAAGGAUGCCAGACACAAGGUUAACAAUUAACCAACAAGCUUUAUAUGCAAAAAUAUUCCCAAAAGUAGCAAACUAAGAGAAACAAAAGGGACUGGAGACCCCGGCCAAAAAGAACAAAAGAUGGGAAGACGCUGGACCAACCUCGCAGUGAGCCGUCACUCCCCGUGUCUCCCCUAAACUAAUCCUAGAACAAACAAAAGAGACAAAUAACAGAACUACCGGUAAUCUCCAGCCCAAACUAACACAAUAAACUAAAAUAACAAAACUCCAACACCUAAAUGUGCAUGGAGUUUGGGAAAACAAACCUGCUUGUGGAGAAAAAAGAAAAUGAGGACACAACUCCA